UCAAGCCUAUCAUGAUCUGAAGCUGUUGUAACAAAUCAAAAUUGCUUUGAUGUUCCAUAGUACCUUGUUGGAAAGACUGGAGCAUGGUUCAAGAUGAUGUGUAAAAAUUCAAGAUUUGUGCAAAAGCUUACGACUGAAGAGUGAAAACAGUUCUAUAUGAUGGCUCAAUCAAAUGUGGAAAUGGACGACAAAAGUAGAGUUUCAACAUUCGAGCAUACGCACGGUCGGUUAAUACCGUCCGUCGAAUGCCGUCCCCCGUUGGACCGACCAACAGCACGGUCCCUGGUGCAGUCGGUAACUUCACCAACACCUUGCCUGGUGACACGGUCACUGAUGCUGCGGAGAAUAUCACCAGCACCAAGCCGUCCUUAGCUAACAGUACCAGCUCCGGAAACACAGCCGAGGAACGAAAUAGUUCUCCAUUGGUCGAAUCAGAGCGGAGAGCAGCCCAGUCGUUGAAUGGCACGUCUGCAAAGCAGUCCAACGGGACCAACGCUGAAAGUCGGGUGAUUGCGAUUACUGACGACGGUCUAGUUCGAGAGAAAAUUCAAUCGUCGAAUCGAUUGGUAAAUGAAACGACGACGGCAAGAACAAACGAGACACAGGCCUCGACCAACGGAACAGACUUUACAAUAGAACACAAGGUAACAUCUAAUGAACAUUUGUUGCGAAAGUUCAAAGUAAAACUCGGUUCUAAAACAGCCUCAAACAAACAGCUUUGGAAGAAGUUGUUUGGGGGCACUGCGGCAAAGAAGAACGCUGGGCCACCGAGCAGCGCCCAGCCUUCUCGGCCGAGAAAACGUUACAGAGGCCGGACAACGAUCAGACUCGGAUAGAUUAACCACAAAUGUCAAAAUCCAUAAUCUGUGAAAUACAUGACCAACUCGCAAGGAAUAAAAAUUCACCUAU